rnacentral:rRNA from 1 species
UGGGGAAUUUUGGACAAUGGGGGAAACCCUGAUCCAGCGACGCCGCGUGUGUGAAGAAGGCCUGCGGGUUGUAAAGCACUUUCGGUGGGAACGAAAUAUGCCGGGCUAAUACCCCGGUAGGCUGACGUUACUCAAUGAAGAAGCACCGGCUAACUCUGUGCCAGCAGCCGCGGUAAUACAGAGGGUGCGAGCGUUAAUCGGAAUUACUGGGCGUAAAGCGCACGUAGGUGGCGACGUAAGUCGGGUGUGAAAGCCCCGGGCUCAACCUGGGAACCGCAUUCGAGACUGUGUUGCUGGAGUACGGAAGAGGAGGGCGGAAUUCCCGGUGUAGCGGUGAAAUGCGUAGAUAUCGGGAGGAACAUCAGUGGCGAAGGCGGCCCUCUGG